CAGAGCCACAGGCUUCCCUCAAAACAUCUCACAAGUCAGAUGCAGGCAUGAGGACAGAUGGAGAAACAUCACAGAGCCGUCAUUUCUGGAAAUUGACUCAACACGUAAGAGGAGCACUGGAUGAAUGCUUAGAGCAGAUAUCUAAAACCCAGGUCUAAUGCCAAGGAGGCGGUUGUCCCCCUGCUGUCUGGCAGAGGAUCACACUCAGAAACAGAUUGGUUUAUGCUAUGCUCAUCUGCUGUCCCUGUGUCUUCACAGAGGGGAUCUAAGCUGACAGAGCUGGGAUUCAGAGCUAUGCCUUCCAGCUCCCUAACACAGGCUUGAGCAGGUCUAACAUCCUGCUGUUCCUGUAUCCCACUUCAUUAAAACCCACAUAGUGGUUUCCAUGGGCUGAGGCUCACAUGUAGAUGAUGGUUCGUAACAUUUUAUGAAAGGAAGGUCAACCCAGAAAUGGUUAGCACGAGGCAUGGUCCUCGCUGAAGCCAGCAUUGGUUGUCAGGGUCUCCUAGCAGUAAUGUUUCCCUCAUGCUAGAUGAUUGACAUUUACAGGGUCAGUAAGUUCAGAUAGUCAGUCUCCAUGGCCUAAGUAAAGGAAAAGCAAGCAACAUUACCAAACCCACAUUCAUCUGAGCCUUGCUGUUCAUCACAGGACCCAAGGAGAGAAUCUGAAGCCUCGAAACAUUAGACUUACAAUAGUUCUUUUUCACCUUGAAAAUACUGAGGUUCUGAGUGGGACUGACAAGCAUGGAUCUGUGGAUUUAGUAGUUUAGACACUCUUGAAAGUCCCUACUUUACUUGGUACAGGCAAGCACACACAGGAUCACGGUAGAGAGAAACAUGUAUUAGAAAGAACAUAGAAGAAUAUGAGAAGAAUAGAAACAGGAGGCGACAUGAACGGGAUGGAACAUGAAGGAUGGGAGUCAUGAAACACUUGCAGGGAAGACUGUUCCAGCCGGUCCUGACGUCAGAGGAGUGCACAUGCAAGGCUCUCUUGACCUCACAUCUCCCCUGUGCUCUUCUAACAAAAAUAAAAGAAAUUCAAAGAGCUCUCUAGAAGAGGAGUGCCCUCUUAACAUGAAAUACUUAAGGAAGCAUGCAAAGGCUGAUGUAGCAGGAUGCUGACCAACAUAAUGUGUGUCUCCCUAGAGCAUCUGCAGAUAAUUUAGUAGUUGUCCACUGUGAAAGAAAUGCAUUGAAUGAAAUAUAUUUCAAACAACACAAUCGGAAGCAUCGUGGAACUACUCAAAUGAUAAUUCCUAUUUGUAUUCAUUGCCAUGAAAAUAUGCCUGUCAUAUAUUUUCAAAUAAAACAAACUACAAAAACCAUGGGUAGACACUUGUGUCAUUCAAAAAGAACUGUGAAGAGGAAGAACAACUGACUCAUAAGUAGCUCACGGGAAACCAGCAACAGCAAAUACACAGAACGGGCUCACUGUUUACUUGGCACUCCAAGUAGUUCCUCAUAUCCAUAACCAUCAUUUCAUUAUUCAUCAUAUUAUAAAUGUUACAAAACGACCUGCAUGCUGAGACGGGGUUCCCCAACAUGUUGGGUAAGUAAAAUCCUCAUGCGUUUUGCAACGAUGGCGGUCUCUGUGCUCUUUGUGGGUGAGGAUCUUUUAGCGACCUACAACAGUCCUGAGGAUGGUGUGGCAGGAGCACUGUAAGCAUCCUUGAAUCUGGAUUUCAAAAGUAAAGACAGAGGCAGGAAAAAGAAGUUGAAAAGAAGCCUAGUGGUUGGCCCAAGGAUGAAAUACAGCGACAGCUAGGGGCUGUGACCUCACACAAGAGGAUAAGCCCGGGAUGGAGGUUGGUGUGUGCCAGGAGACUCUGUGAGGUGGUACAUUUUUCUGGAUUCAAAAACAAGAUGUGUUUUUAAAAACCAAAUGAAAUCACCUAAAGCUCAAAGAGUAUCAGCCUCGGAGGGAAGGACAUUAAAGCCUGAACGCAGAUGGCUCCACUCACAAGGCAGUGUCUUUAUCCCUUACCUUGUUCCCCCUACAGACUUACACCUGCCCCCAGGAGAAGAAAAGAGACAACACAGUGAGGAAGCUUUCUGUCUAUAUGCCUGGUUUAUAAACAAUCACUGUCUGAGAAAUCCUUGCACGCUAACUAUUUACACCUAAUAAAAUAUGGUUAUAUUUGUGUGA
rnacentral:lncRNA from 1 species